UCUAGUCCUGAAGAAGGGUUCCGGUUCCAGAGACGGAGCUUUGCUCCGCUCCAGGAGGCACGUUCGCCUCUGAGCUCUGCGAAUGGCACCCGCUGGAGGCCCGCGGCGUGCAGCCUCUAGACCAUCGAGAAAGAAUUAGCAUGAAGAACAGCCAGUCACAUGGGAAGCCUGGAGUGUCCUCCUGAGCCAGCUGUGUUCCUCCUCAAGGCAGUGACGACUGACCUUCCUGUUUCUAAUUUACAUCUGAAUCUCACUGUGGAAUUUCUAGAAAGAAACGGCAUUCGGGGAAAUACCUUUUGCAAAAGGCCGGUUCAUCUUCAGUGGUCUUCAAACCCUACCUUCAAAAGGAAGUUCAGAGCCAUUGGUGAGAAGAGAAUAGAAACUUGAAAGGAGAGACUCCUGAGCAUCACUGAUAGAGUGAGAAUACCACGGAGAAUUCACUACUACUACAUCUUCUACAAGUUUGCCAAAGGUGUGAGUGAAUCCUGGCCCAAGAACUUCUUCACGAUGCUAUUGAGAAUUAAAUGCCAUGACGUGUAUACACUAGCCCUUCAUAGAAGGGAGAAUGAGACCAUGUGUGUCUAGCAGCUACCAGGGCCUGCAGCAGAUGGCGUGGGCUCCAAAGGACUGAGCUUUAAUAUGAAACAGAAACUCUGGACCUUGGCUUUUAGGUUUUGGCCUCACUGAGGACGUGGUUGGACUUUUUCCAUGGAAGGGUGGCAGGAGAUAGGAUCUUGGAAACCCAGGGGAAGAUUUCCACAUCAAUAAACCAUCUUACCACACUACUGUA